rnacentral:rRNA from 1 species
UACGUAGGGUGCGAGCGUUGUCCGGAAUUAUUGGGCGUAAAGGACUCGUAGGCGGUCUGUCACGUCGAAAGUGAAAACUCAGGGCUUAACCCUGAGCCUGCUUCCGAUACGGGCAGACUAGAGGUAUGCAGGGGAGAACGGAAUUCCUGGUGUAGCGGUGAAAUGCGCAGAUAUCAGGAGGAACACCGGUGGCGAAGGCGGUUCUCUGGGCAUUACCUGACGCUGAGGAGCGAAAGUGUGGGGAGCGAACAGG